AGAGUGCCACCAGCGCCACCAAGCCCGCCAGGUCCACCAAGCCCGCCAGCGGGAGUACAAUCGCCUCCAAGAAGGCCCAGCUCAAGAAGAAUGUCCACAACACCACCGCUGUUUGCACCUCCGUCUGUACCUCCAUUUGCACCUCCAUCCACACCUCCAUCCGUAUAUCAGUCUGUACCUCCAUCUGCACCUCCAUCCUCACCUCCAUCCGUACAUGAGUCUAUACCUCCAUCUGCACCUCCACCUGUACCUCUAUCUGCACCUCCAUCCUCACCUCCAUCCGGACAUCGGUCUGUACCUCCAUCCGCACUUCCAUCCGUACAUCAGUCCGUACCUCCAUCUGCACCUCUGCCUUUACAUGGGAAGUUCGGGUGCAGGAAGCGAGGGGGGAGGAAGCGAAACUGGAAGAAGAGAAACUGAGCGGGGAGGAACAUGAUCUGGAAAAGCCUGACCAUUGUUAUUUUUGUAAAUUAUUAUUAUUAUUCCUAUUAUUGUUGUUGUUUUUAUUGUUGUUGUUAUUAUUAUUAUUUUAUUAUUAUUAUUAAAAAAAACAUAAUUUUGAAAGACA